GCCCCAUUGGACAAGUGGCUAAGUCGCCUCCCUUUCAAGGAGGAGAACACCGGUUCAAACCCGGUAUGGGGUA
rnacentral:tRNA from 1 species